rnacentral:rRNA from 1 species
UGGGGAAUUUUGGACAAUGGGCGAAAGCCUGAUCCAGCAAUGCCGCGUGUGUGAAGAAGGCCUUCGGGUUGUAAAGCACUUUUGUCCGGAAAGAAAUCCUUGGCUCUAAUACAGUCGGGGGAUGACGGUACCGGAAGAAUAAGCGCCGGCUAACUACGUGCCAGCAGCCGCGGUAAUACGUAGGGUGCAAGCGUUAAUCGGAAUUACUGGGCGUAAAGCGUGCGCAGGCGGUUUGCUAAGACCGAUGUGAAAUCCCCGGGCUCAACCUGGGAACUGCAUUGGUGACUGGCAGGCUAGAGUAUGGCAGAGGGGGGUAGAAUUCCACGUGUAGCAGUGAAAUGCGUAGAGAUGUGGAGGAAUAUCGAUGGCGAAGGCAGCCCUCUGGGCCAAUACUGACGCUCAUGCACGAAAGCGUGGGGAGCAAACAGGAUUAGAUACCCUGGUAGUCCACGCCCUAAACGAUGUCAACUAGUUGUUGGGGAUUCAUUUCCUUAGUAACGUAGCUAACGCGUGAAGUUGACCGCCUGGGGAGUACGGUCGCAAGAUUAAAACUCAAAUG